AUGAACCAAUGCAUGAACCAAUACAUGAACCAAUACAUGAACCAAUGCAUGAACCAAUGCAUGAACCAAUGCAUGAACCAAUGCAUGAACCAAUACAUGAACCAAUACAUGAACCACUGCAUGAACCACUGCAUGAACCAGUACAUGAACCAAUACACCGUGACAAUGCAUCAGUAGGUCGUGUGACAGACAGGGAAUUACACUGUGUGAUGGAUGCUGGCUGUCAUUACACUGCUGCUCGGUUCUCUCUCCUAAAAUGGCAGCACAAUAGAACAGAAGGCUGUGGCUCUGACUCUGUACUGAACAAUGACUGAACCAAUGACUGAACCAAUGACUGAACCAAUGACUGCUGUGACUGAGAUGAGAUCUAUGCAGUUUGUUACAUUCUUGUUGUCACUUCUGAGGAGACUGGUAGCUAAACAUACAUUCAUGGUAGGUUGUAGAUGUGUAAAUUCAUGGUCGGUUGUAGAUGUGUAAAUUCAUGGUAGGUUGUAGAAGUGUAAAUACAUGUGUAUUUGUGUAAUUGUAUGUGUAAUUGCAUCUGUAAUGUCUGAGUGUCAUCAGAAGAGUAACAUACAUGGUAGGUUGUAGAUGUGUAAAUUCAUUGUAGGUUGUAGAUGUGUAAAUUCAUGGUAGGUUGUAGAUGUAUACAUUCAUGGUAGGUUGUAGAUGUGUAAAUUCAUGGUAGGUUGUAGACGUGUAAAUUCACGGUAGGUUGUAGAUGUGUAAAUUCAUGGUAGGUUGUAGAUGUGUAAAUUCAUGGUAGGUUGUAGAUGUGUAAAAUCAUGGUAGGUUGUAGAUGUGUAAAUUCAUGGUAGGUUGUAGAUGUGUAAAUUCAUGGUAGGUUGUAGAUGUGUAAAUUCAUGGCAGGUUGUAGAUGUGUAAAUUCAUGGUAGGCUGUAGAUGUGUACAUUCAUGGUCAGUUGUAGAUGUGUAAAUUCAUGGUAGGUUGUAGAUGUGUAAAUUCAUGGUAGGUUGUAGAUGUGUAAAUUCAUGAUAGGUUGUAGAUGUGUAAAUUCAUGGUAGGUUGUAGAUGUGUAAAUUCAUGGUAGGUUGUAGAUGUGUAAAUUCAUGGUAGGUUGUAGAUGUGUAAAUUCAUGGUAGGUUGUAGAUGUGUAAAUUCAUGGUAGGUUGUAGAUGUGUACAUUCAUGGUAGGUUGUAGAUGUGUAAAUUCAUGGUAGGUUGUAGAUGUGUAAAUUCAUGGUAGGUUGUAGAUGUGUAAAUUCAUGGUAGGUUGUAGAUGUGUAAAUUCAUGGUAGGUUGUAGAUGUGUAAAUUCAUGGUAGGUUGUAGAUGUGUAAAUUCAUGGUAGGUUGUAGAUGUGUAAAUUCAUGGUAGGUUGUAGAUGUGUAAAUUCAUGGUAGGUUGUAGAUGUGUAAAUUCAUGGUAGGUUGUAGAUGUGUACAUUCAUGGUAGGUUGUAGAUGUGUAAAUUCAUGGUAGGUUGUAGAUGUGUAAAUUCAUGGUAGGUUGUAGAUGUGUAAAUUCAUGGUAGGUUGUAGAUGUGUACAUUCAUGGUAGGUUGUAGAUGUGUAAAUUCAUGAUAGGUUGUCAUGUAGAACAUGUGUAUACUUUAUAUUGAUGUGAUGGUGCAAUGUCC